rnacentral:lncRNA from 1 species
AUGGGCUGUAUAGGAAGCAUGGCAGCAUCUUCUUGGCUUCUGGGGAGGCCUCAGGAAACUUACAAUCAUGGUGGAAAGCAAACGGAGAGCCAGCACUUCAUAUGGCUGGAGCAAAAGGAAGAGAGAGCAGAGGGGAGGUGCCACACACUCUUAAACAACCAGAUCUCACGAGAACUCUGUCAUAAGAACAGCAUCAAAAGAAGAAAUCUGCUCCCACAAUUCAAUCAUCUCCCACCAAGCCCCACCUCCAACACUGGGGAUUACAAUUUAACAUGAGAUUUGGGUGGGGACACAGAUCCAAACCAUAUCAAAUAUUCCCUGCUUGCAGCAGCCAUUUGAACAUAGAGGCCAUAUUUAUAGACAUCUCAACCUCCUCUUUGGAGGUUGACAUGAUCAACCUCACUGAGAUACUUGAUAUAUUGCCAGGAUGACACACACUAUUGACCACAGUUCUGAGAGCCAUUUCCUGUCAUUCAGUGUGAUUAUUGGCUAGGUGUAGAUAAGGAUUGUUAUAAGUUGAAUUGUGCCCCCCUCACCAAAUAUAUGUGUUCAAAUCCUAACCCCUCAUUCCUUAGAAUGUGGCCUUACUUGGAAAUAGAGUCUUUGUAGAUUUAAACAAGUUAAGAUGAGGUCAAUUGAGUGGAUUCUAAUCCAAUAUGACUGGUGUCCUUAUAAAAAGGGGAAAUUGGGAUCCAAACACAGACCAGCAGAUAAGGAGAAUGCCAUGGGAAGGUAAAGGCAGAGAUUGGGGGAUGCAUCAGCAAUUACCAGAAGCUAGGAGAGGCUUGGAACAGAUUCUCCCUUACAGCCUCCGAAGGAACCAACCCAGCUGACACCUCGAUCUCAGAUUUCUAGCUUCCAGAACUGUGAAUCAAUACAUUUUUCUUGUUUAAACCACCCAAUCUGUGGUACUUUUUUGUUGUUGUUACAGCAGCCCUAGCAAACAAAUAUGGGGAUGUUGGCAGGAGCUGGAAGAAAAUCACCUUUGAGGAUAUCACAUAUGGGGCUAAAAGCAGCAGUGAGGAAAAGAAUCAAUUAGAGAAAAUCUAAUUGUACAAAUUUCCUUACAACUGAUGAACCAGCAUUCUCAAGAUCAUGUUUAGAAUGAAAAAUAUUAAAAAUAUAUUUUAAAGUGAGUUUUAGAGACCAUAUGUAAUAAGUGUUUUUUUUUUUUUUAACCUCUUUAGCAUUUGAAUGUAGCUUAUUUCUGUUUUAGCUGAACAGGUGAAUAUGUAGUGUUUUCUCAUAAGGGUAAAAGACUAAGUCCCGUGAAGUACAGAUGUGUAAUGGGCAAGUAGAUCUGAGUAAGACAUUCUGCAUUCUUCCAGCUCAGCAUUGUCACUGUUUCUUUCUUAUGGUGUACACAUUAACAUUAGCGGGAAGCAAGGUGCUAGACGUUUUAAAAUAGAUAAUUCUUCACCAAAAAGCUUCAGAUUAUAGUAGAAUUGAAUUUCCAGAUUUUCCUACCUCUGCACCUAGAAAUCAGGUAAAACAGAACAAUUCUAAUGGCUGGUGCUUCAGAACUGGAAGGCCCUGAGGUCUUUAGUUACUACCAACUAUUACAGAGGAAUCAGAGUCCCGCUAGAAUGGCCCAGAUAGUUCAGGUUCUUUCUUCAUUCUUUUGGCUAAAACUGUAUUUGCUGUUUAGUCUCUGUCCCCCUCCUGUGUCCUGUGUGCCCCAGCCGUUAAAUACUGGAACUUCAUUCAAAAUCAUCUAGCUCAUGAAACAGCUCUAAUUCCACAGGAUGCCCUAAGAUAACCAGAUUUUGACUGUGGAGAGCCAGUAGUGGAGCCAGGAGCAGGUUACUACCGGCGCUAAUGUUGUCCUAGCAGCCAUGACAAAGAGGAUGUGUCCUGGGAAAGUCAGAGCCAGUCCUGAGAGUCAAGACUGUAUCACACACAUUAAGGGAGACACUCCUGCAAACCCCUUCAUCCCCAGAUGUUACAUAAACUGUGUCAGAAUUUGCUGAGCUUCUGUUGAGUUUUCUACAACAGUGAAGAAAAUUUCAGUAAUUGAUAAUUGAUACUUUCAAUGAUUAUUUGCCUUUAUGUCUUUUUUUUUUUUUUUUUUUUUUUUUUUGAAGACAGGGUCUCUCGCUCUGUUGCCCAGGCUAGAGUGCAGUGGUCCAAUCACAGCUGACUGUAACCUCAGGCAAUCCUCUCACCUCAGCCUCCUGAGCAGCUAGGGCUACAGGUGCAUGCUAGCAUGCCUGGUUAACAUUUUUAAUUUUUCUUUUUUUUUUUUUAGAGACGGGAUCUCACUAUGUUGCCCAGGCUAGUCUUGAACUCCUGACCUCAAGCAAUUCUCCCUCCUUGGCCUUCCAAAGUGCUGGAACUAUAGGCAGGAGCCACUGUACCCAAACUGUGCCUAUUUUGAGUGAAUAUAAAAUUAUAUUUUAUGGCUGGGCUCGGUGGUUCAUGCCUGUAAUCCCUGCACUUUGGGAAGCUAAGGCAGACAGAUCACUUGGGGUCAGGAGUUUGAGACCAGCCUGGCCAACAUGGAAACCCCAUCUCUAGUAAAAUAGAAAAGUUAGCUGGGUGUGGUGGUGUGCACCUGUAAUCCCAGCUACUCGGGAGGCUGAGGCACAAGAAUUGCUUGAACCUGGGAGACAGAGGUUGCAGUGAGCAGAGAUUGCACCACCAUACUCCAGCCUAGGUAACAUAGUGAGACUCCCUCUAAAUAAAUAAAUAUAGAUCUAUGUUUUAUUUAUGUGUGUGUAUGCACAUAUUUUAUCUUUAAAAAUAAAAAUAAGCUCAACAUUUUGCUUUUGAUUGUCAUGUGAUUGUUACCAACAAAUAUUUACUAAGCCAUGUGCUCAGCACAAGCCUAGGUAUGGUGGAAGAUACAAAAGAAAACUAAAGAACAAUCUCUGCCCCAGAAGGGUAUUCACACUAAUUGACUAGACAAAAUGAAUUAUCUUGUCACACUCAAAGUCAAAUUAUUGCCAGAAGCUAUGACAAGUACUGUAUAGAAGUAUUUAGCUAUAGGUAGACUGGAAGCCAAAGGAAAGAAGUUGGCUUGACUUCAACAGAGAGUACGAGUUCUACCCAGGACAUCAGAUGUGAGCUGUCUUAAAAGAGAAAAUUAUAAAGAUAGGCUGAAGGAAUAUUACAUUGUGCAGAAUAUGGAAAUGAAGACAUGGAAAUGAGACUGGGCACCGUCUGCGCUGGGAGGAUUAAUCUAUCAGAUCUGAGAAGGCUCCAGAUCUGGAUGGAGGCAAGAGGGAACAGGUGUCUCACAGACAGACGUUUGUCUCUCUCUUUUAUUCUUCACGUUCUUUGUUUCCUUCAACAAAUACGAUUGAAGGCUUGUUAAGUGCCUGGCACUUUUCUAGGUACUGGGGAUAGGAGACAACAUCUUCUCUCUUACAGCCUACGUUCUGGCCAGGUACACAAGCAAUGACAAAUAUAUAAUGUUAGACAGUGGUAAAUGCUACGAAGAAGUUAAUCAGGUUAAGGUGAUGGAAAUAGGAUCUGCUCUUUUAUAGAUAGGAUAGUGAGAAAUGGCCCCUCAAAAGAAGAGAUGUUCAGUGAGAAGAAAAUGAGGAAGCAAAGAUAGUCAAGAAUCUAAAGGAAAAGUAUGUUAGUCAGGGGAAAUAAUAUAGAAAAAGAACAUAAUAUAGAAGAGAACUUCUGUGUUUAGGGAACAACAGCAAGUCCAGUGUAACUAGAGUUGAGUGAGCCGGACAGAGGAGGUAAGAGAUGAAGUCAGAG